GAAUGUGUGGCCUUGUUGAAGUAGGUGUGGCCUUGUUGACAGUAGUAUAUCAUUGAGGGGGUAGUCUUUCUGAAUUCUCAGCUCCUCCUACACCAACCAUGCCUGGACACUGCCAUGCUUCUGCCUUGAAGAUAGUAGAUUGAACCUCUGAAUCUGGAUUUUAAUAUAACAUCUGAGACUGAGAAGACAAGUUGAUGAAUACACACAAAUACUAAGGUGGGAGACUUGGCCUUGAGGUCAAGGGAACAGGGCACCUGUUUCUGCUAUUCACCUACCGGAGCAAUCUGGAGAAUGGGAUAUCCAACUUGCCUUGGGAUCACAGUAGAUCUAAUUGACCUUGCUGGCAGCAACACAGGGUGAAUGGGCUUAAGACCACACAUUGGUUGGACAUUGAGAGAUAAGGUUGAUAAAGGUUUCUAUAAACACACAACUCUGUUUUACUUGUGAAGAAAGGAUUUUUCAAGUCAGUAUUCAGUGCUUGUGUCAAGACCAGCAAGGCACAAAUGAUACUGAGGCAGGAACUUGCCAUAAAGUAGUAUAUGAAACUCAAGAUAAAGACUUCCGAUGCCUGGUCUAGUAUUGAUUUAGAUCAAUGAAGUCUUUAAAAGAAACUUCACAAAACAGAAGCCUGCGGGAACUUGGUGUAUUCUGCUUCUUCAAUAAAUUGUCAGAAAAUGGUUGUGAUAAAAGAUACACCAGACAUGACAAUAGUAUAUUAUGGCAACUGUGGGAUCAAGGACUAGGUGCAUCCUUUACCACUAAGAGCAUCAAAGUGGCCCAGUUGGUGUUUUAUAGAGCCUGUUGAUUCUCUGUAAUCUUCUACUUCUAUUUUUUAAUGGAUGGACCUAGAAAAGAUCGUAACAAGUGAGGAAGGAACCUAGCAUAACACCUCUGAGAUGAUCCAUCAAGCAACCAAUAGAAAGAGAUGCAGAGACCCACAGUCAAAUAUUCAAUGGAGCACAUGGAGUCUUAUGGAAGAGUUGGGAGAGGAUUGAUGGAUCUGAAGACGACAGAGGCUCCACAGGAAGACCAAGAGAGUCAACUAUCCUGGACCCUUGGGGACUCCAGAGACUGUGUCACCAACCAAAAUGAAAGCAGAGGUUGCACCUAGGCCUCUUUGCACAUAUGUAACAUAUGCACAGCUUGGUCUCCAUACUUGUCAUUAAUUCCUUUAUAUGACUUAAGAGUUGUAUGAGCUCAUACCAUCAGGGAAUGUUGUCCCUGCCAAAGUUAAUGACUUGUGGAUAAUCAGAAAAAGCAUGAUUCAGGAGAGUGAGUCUGUGUCUCUGUGAUGCUGAGAUUUAAGGUUAUGCAAAGAACUCUGAAAACAUGAGUUCUAGAAUAUAUAAAUCACUGUAAGAAUUGUUUAUUACAAGAUUUCUCAACUAUGCAAUUUAAAAGGUUGCAAAGUGAAUUGAAUGAGGGCCUUCAAAAACCUGAAGGGAAAGAGGCAGCUACACUAAUGAUUCAUCUUAGAAAGAUAUAAAGGAAACCAGGUGUGCAAGAUAUCUUAGUACAAUGGUGCCACGAAGCUUAUAGGGAUAAGCAUCGAAUAUCUGAGAGGAAUUAAUGCUCACUUAAUGAGGUGGAACCCACAUCCCACAGUAUGGGUUACUAAUCACCUGGGACUGGAUAGCCCAGAGACCUAGAAUAAAAUCAAAGUCUUCUGGUAUUCAAAAAUGAAAAGAAAAUCCAGCAAUAAAAUUAGUCCUAUUGAUAUCAUGUUAUACUUACAGUUCAGUGAAUUGCUUAACCAUUAUCAAAUAAGCUUUUUUCUACCCAGGUUACUUACAAAAGGAAGUUUCCUUCACCCUACCAUUCUAUCUUAUAAUCUUUCAAUGAAGGAAAAUUAAGACAAGAACUAAAAUCUAUAGUUGCAUAGCAUCUACAGUCAAAAACAGAAAUAAAGAAAUGAAAUCAUGUUGCCAACUAGAACUCUUCACUCAUAUGGUUCAAAGCCCAAAUUAUAAAAUUUUACCAACGAUCAUAGGCUAUGACUUAUUCCAUGAGCCAUCAUGGUAUAUUCCUACACAGACAUGCGGUUAGCCCAAUCAAUGGUAAUUAGAUAAUUCCUCAUUAAGACUUCCUAGGUGAUUCUAUUUUGUGCUAAGUUGACCAUUAAAAAUUAUCACACUAUUAUCAUUUGCUUCCCUGGUAAAACUGGUGAGAUACACUAGAGUCCACAGAUUUGAGUAAGCUCCUAACUGAUUGGAUGAGAAACAAUACUAUAGCAAACCUCACAGUUUAAAUUAAAUUAAUAUAUAAGUAAGGUGGGAUUUAGAUAUGAAAUAUUUAUAGAGUGAUGUACUUCUUUUUCAAAGUAAUUAGCCGCCUACCAAGAAGCCUUAUAAUUAUCAUGAUACAUUAAUAGUCACACUAAAGAAAUUACUACAUUAGUUUGGGUAUACGAGAAUAAUUCUCUUGAUCUUGCACAUCUACAUUAGUUAUUUUGAGUAUAAAAUAAAAAAAAAAUUACUAUUUCCUUGAUGAGUUAACCCUGUGUCCACUUAAUACAGCUACAAACAGACUUGCAUUCCAAGGAUCAAAAAACAAAACAAAACAACCAAACAAGCAAGCAAAAUCUUUUUUUUUUUUUUUUUUUGACAAAAUUUUCUGGAAAGGGUGGCCACGGUAGCAAUGGAUUCUGUGGUUUAUGUAUGGUUGAGUGAGAUAUUUACACUUCAAAUAGUUAUUUUGGAAUUCUGUUAAGCAUUAUUUUAGCCCCAAUACUUAAUUGAAGGAGAUCUCUGUUUAUCAGAACUCAGUACCUAUAACAUUUGAUAUGAAUUUAAGAACCAAUUAAAAUUUCUGAAUGAACUAAGAUUAUAGUAGCAUAUUUACAUACUAGCCAUAGAAUUAAUAGAUUUAUAUUUAGUUUCAGAGACUUAAAAUUAUGACCUCUAAUUGUCUUAUGAAUCUGUAGUAAUAUGAACAGUUAAAUAACAGUUAAAUGCUUUGAAAUCAAUUAUGGAUAAUUCUGCCUUGACCCCAAAUAGUUAUUAACAAAGAUGUGUGGUAUUUUUUCUUUGUAAUAUAAUCAUAUAGUUACACUUUGAGGUCAGUAGUAGAAUAAACCACACAAAUUCUACUAAAUAAAAUAUGAGACACUGUGUAAGACAGUAAAUCAUUUAGAACACAAAAGUCACAAAAGAUUCUAAACUAGAAAUAAUUUCAUUCAAUAUAAAAUUUUUAUGUGAACCCAGCUAUGUGCACUUUCUAUCCUGUGCAAUGCAAUGAAUUGCAUAAAGAAGUUUGUGUAUAAAAGUAAUAAAACUGUAGCCUUUUGAGGGGACAAUUAUUUAAGAAAAGCACAGCAACUUGAAAUAGGAGUGGUAAGUCAGACUUACCUUUGGUCUGCAUUUUUGCAACAAUGUAUACCAUGAAGAUAAUUAUUUAGAGAACUUUAUUUGUUAAGAAAGAUAACUGUUGCUUGUUAUUAAAACUGUUGCUUAUUACCUGUGAUGUCAGUGAUAUUCUACAUUACAACUGAUAGAAGAGAGGAAAUACUUCUGAACUCAUUGACACAGGAGAAAGAUGUAUAACUUUUAAUUGAACAUUUACUGCUUAAGUGAAUUAAGACUUAGAAAAUGUUCACUACCAUAGAGCUAAGUAUAUGUGGUGCAGAAGCUGAAAGCUCUAUUUUUUCUAAAACCUGAAGACUUAUGUAUAUAUUUUUUCAAAAUGUCAAGGUGCGGUCUAUCAUGUCAGGGAAGACAAGAUGACAGUAGCUUGAAGCAGCUGAUUCCA
rnacentral:lncRNA from 1 species